ensembl:lncRNA
GUGAUAUAUGAGAAGUUUGGCAAAGACAGCUGCUUCCCCAUCACAGUUAUGCUACUGAACCUUCAAGUGUGAGGUAACUUCCUGUUUCCGAAAGGUGUCGUGUUUCUUUCGAUUUCUGUCACUUGGCAAAGAGUUUUCAGGGUUUCUCCCAGCUAGAAGGAUCCUUACGUUACAUCAGUAGCGUGCACCGAGUGCAGUAACAUCUAUAGGUCAUCUCAGGCUGUGGUGAGGAAAGCAGCGCCUUUAUUUCAGGUGACUGUGAGAAGCUCCAGCUCCCCAGGUACGGGCCGCUUCCAGCCCGUAGGGCCUGAGCCCGACACCUGCGCUAGAGCUCGGCAGGCCUCUCCUGGAUGGACAGAGGCGGGUCCUCUGUGGGCGUCCGGACCCCAGCUCACCCACGCCUGCCUUCCGCUCAUCGCCGCCCACUCCCGGGCGUUUCUCCGGGAGGCCUGGGGUCCCGGGCCUCGGCGGCCUGCGGGUGAGCUGCCCUUCCUCUGGGAUCCCGGCGCAGGGCCUGGAACCCUAACUGGAGAGGCACUCCGGCUGCGCCCCACUCCGCCAUCUUCCCGGAAGUCUUGUGAAGAGGCCUGCACAGCGUGCCACUGAGGUGCUGCCCUCCACGGUGUUACGGUGCAUCAAGAAGUUCCUGACCAGAUGUUGAGCAGAUGCCUCUAGGGGCCCUCAAGCUUCUCAGCCUCCAGAAUUGACUUUGGUCAAGAAUACUCUUGGUGGAGAAAAGCAGCAGGGCCAGUUCCUCCUCAGCCCCAGUGGGCCAGCGUUGUGCUCCUCCUCCGGCGUGCCUACCGGAGACAGCCCUCACCCUUGGGGAAUCCCCUCAUUGAACUCCGAUUGCCUUCUCUCAAGAGGUAUUGAAGGACUGAAAUCAUUCUCCUUUCCUAAGCCAUGCGUGCAUGCUCAUUGCAGGAUGCUGUCCUCAUGGGAGACUUGGUGUGUAGAAAGCAAGACUGUUGUCCUUCUGAGUUCACUGUAACUGGGCAGAAGAUGAUGGCCUUUAGGGUUAGUGAUAGAAUCAAACUGACUUUAUUAAUAUUCAACACAUUGUAGAAUAUCAGUCUCAGUAUCUACUUUGUUUUAUAGAAUAUAUUAAUUUUUUGUAUUCUUAUGCAUUUUAAUUUGAGUUUGGUGUGAGAAUAAAUUAUCCUAAGUAUAUUUUCACAUGAUUAUUCUUUAAUAUUCUCUAUUUACUUUUCUACCUGUGAGGCCAGUAUGCAAAGAUUUAAAGGAAAAAUGGUGCAUGGAUAGACAGACAGACAGACAUAGUUAUUCUGUUGAGAGACCGUGCAACUCAGUGAUAUCCAGUAAUCUUGGAAGUCACAAACACAUAGGUUCCAGUCCUAAAUCCAGCACAUUACUACAUUGAUGCCCUCCAAGGGACCUAAGUUUAUACAUUUCAAUUUUGCCUUUUAAGGAAACAUCAUGGGAAAAUAUGUCUUUUUAUCAAAGACCACAUCAAAUAUGGCUUUCAGUGAAUAACAGUUGUGUUACUAUCAUUGUCUUUUGUGAGAUUAAAGGUACAACAUACGUAAAGUGCUGACCAUGGUGCGUGAGCAUUCUGGUGUGCCACUGCACAGUAGAGUGACUACAGAUAAUAAUAAAGUACUCUAUACCACAAAAAGCUAUAAAGAAUAAUUUAGAAUAUUUCAUCAAAGAUAUAGAUAUUUGAUGAGGUAGAUAUGCAUAACCUAAUUUAAAUAUUGCACAGUUUAUAUAUGCAUUGAAAUAUCAUGAUACCCCCUUAAUAUGGAAAUAUUUAUGUUACAGUUACAUUUAAUAAUUAAACCAUACAAAUAUACAAG